rnacentral:rRNA from 1 species
AUACGGAGGAUCCGAGCGUUAUCCGGAUUUAUUGGGUUUAAAGGGUGCGCAGGCGGCCAUUUAAGUCAGCGGUUAAAUCGUGGGGCUCAACCCCAUUCUGCCGUUGAUACUGGGUGGCUUGAUUGCGGUCGAGGUUGGCGGAAUUCGUUGUGUAGCGGUGAAAUGCAUAGAUAUGACGAAGAACACCGAUUGCGUAGGCAGCUGACCAGACCGCAAAUGACGCUCAUGCACGAAAGUGCGGGGAUCGAACAGGAUUAGAUACCCUGGUAGUCCGCACAGUAAACGAUGAAUACUUGUUUUCGGCGAUAUAAUGUCGGAGGCAAAGCGAAAGCGAUAAGUAUUCCACCUGGGGAGUACGCCGGCAACGGUGAAACUCAAAUGAAUUGACGGG